rnacentral:rRNA from 1 species
GACGAACGCUGGCGGCGUGCCUAAUACAUGCAAGUCGAACGAGUGGCGGACGGGUGAGUAAUGCUUGGGAAUCUGGCUUAUGGAGGGGGAUAACGACGGGAAACUGUCGCUAAUACCGCGUACCAUAGGAUGAGCCCAAGUGGGAUUAGGGAGUUGGUGGGGUGAUGGCCUACCAGGCCGACGAUCUCUAGCUGGUCGGAGAGGAUGACCAGCCACACCGGGACUGAGACACGGCCCGAACUCCUCCGGGAGGCAGCAGUGGGGAAUAUUGCGCAAUGGGGGCAACCUGACGCAGCCAUGCCGGUUGAAUGAAGAAGGCCUUCGGGUUGUAAAGUUCUUUCGGUGACGAGGCGUUAAUCACAGAGGAAGCACCGGCUAACUCCGUGCCAGCAGCCGCGGUAAUAC